UUGGGUUAAGUCCCGCAACGAGCGCAACCCUUGUCAUUAGUUGCUACAUUUGGUUGGGCACUCUAAUGAGACUGCCGGUGACAAACCGGAGGAAGGUGGGGAUGACGUCAAGUCCUCAUGGCCCUUAUAGGUGGGGCUACACACGUCAUACAAUGGCCGGUACAAAGGGUCGCAAACCCGCGAGGGGGAGCCAAUCCAUCAAAGCCGGUCGUAGUCCGGAUCGCAGUCUGCAACUCGACUGCGUGAAGUCGGAAUCGCUAGUAAUCGUGGAUCUGCAUGUCACGGUGAAUACGUUCCCGGGUCUU
rnacentral:rRNA from 1 species